AGUUAAAAAGCAAAGAAUUAAGCCCAAUGCCUUGAAAACAUUGUGAAAGGAGUUAAAAUCUCCUAUUAACUU
rnacentral:tRNA from 1 species